rnacentral:siRNA from 1 species
AGAAAUGAUGUCUGGGAUCUGGUC